GGUCAAGCUACGAAGGGCGCACGGUGGAUGCCUUGGCGUCACGGGCCGAUGAAGGACGUGGCAAGACUGCGAUAAGCCUCGGUAUGCUGUCUAGCAAGCUAAACCGAGGAUCUCCGAAUGGGGCAACCCGGCUCGCUUUAUAGCGGGUCACGACCAGCUGAACACAUAGGCUGGAUCGAGGGAACCGGGGGAACUGAAACAUCUAAGUACCCUGAGGAAAAGAAACAAUUCUCUUAGUAGCGGCGAGCGAACGGGGAAUAGCCCAAACCGUCAUCCUUGUGAUGGCGGGGUUGUAGGACCGGCGCACAGGAGCGCCAGUUUGGAUAGCCGAAGGACCUGGAACGGUCCGCCGUAGAGGGUGAGAGUCCCGUAGGCGAAAUUUAGACGGCUCCUGCCGGUAUCCUGAGUACCACGGGACACGAGAAAUCCCGUGGGAAGCUGGGGAGACCACUUUCCAAGGCUAAAUACCUGUGACGACCGAUAGUGAACUAGUACCGUGAGGGAAAGGUGAAAAGCACCCCGGGAGGGGAGUGAAAUAGUACCUGAAACCGUGUGCCUACAAGCAGUCGGAGCCUGGUUUCGGCCGGGUGACGGCGUGCCUAUUGAAGAAUGAGCCAACGAGUUACGUUCCGUGGCAAGGUUAAGCGAUGUGAGUCGCGGAGCCGGAGCGAAAGCGAGUCUGAAUAGGGCGCCACAGUCGCGGGAUGUAGACCCGAAACCUAGUGAGCUACCCAUGGGCAGCGUGAAGCGAGGGUAAGACCUCGUGGAGGCGCGAACCUUCCUACGUUGCAAAGUGGUUGGAUGAUCUGUGGGUAGAGGUGAAAUGCUAAUCGAACUAGGAGAUAGCUGGUUCUCCCCGAAAUGCGUUUAGGCGCAGCCUCGUAUGAUGUGCACUGGAGGUAGGGCUCUGGUUGGGUCCGGGGGCUUACCGCUUACCAAUCCCAUCCAAACUGCGAAUGCCAGUGCAUGAGAAUACGGGAGUGAGACAGCGGGGGCUAAGCUUCGUUGUCGAAAGGGAAACAGCCCAGACCCUCGGCUAAGGCCCCUAAAUCCAUGCUUAGUGUGAAAGGAAGUCCGGUCGCAAAGACAGCCAGGAUGUUGGCCCAGAAGCAGCCAUCAUUGAAAGAGUGCGUAACAGCUCACUGGUCGAGUGAUCGGGCGCCGACAAUGUAACGGGGCUCAAGCAUGGUGCCGAAGCCAGGGGAUCGUCCUUAGGGGCGGUCGGUAGGGGAGCGUUCCACGCAGCAGUGAAGCCGGCAGGGUGACCUCCGGUGGAGCGUGUGGAAGUGAGAAUGUUGGCAUGAGUAGCGUAAUUCCGGUGAGAAACCGGGACACCGUAAGCCCAAGGGUUCCUACGCAAGGUUUAUCCACGUAGGGUUAGGCGGGCCUAAGCCGAGGACGAGAGUCGUAGGCGAUGGACAGCAGGUUAGUAUUCCUGCCCCACCGAAGUUGUGCCUGAGGCAGGAGGGGUGACCCGGAAGGAUAGGUCGAGCGGGCCGAUUGGACAUGGUCCGUUCUGCAGUCGUAGGCGUCUGGGGGCAGGCAAAUCCACCCCCAGGUUAAGCGGAGGGCUGUAGAGAAGCGGAGACGUCAGUCAAUGCGACUCGAUUGAGUCCAUGCCGGCGAGAAAAACCUCGCUGCCGAACAACCUCGGUGCCCGUACCGCAAACCGACACUGGUGGGCGGCGGUAAGUACCGUCAGGUGAUCGAGAGAACCUUCGUUAAGGAACUCGGCAAUCUAGCUCCGUAACUUCGGGAGAAGGAGCGCCCCGGUUAGUGAAGGACCUUGCGUCCUGAGCUGGCUAGGGUCGCAGAGAGCAGGCCCAGGCGACUGUUUAACAAAAACACAGGUCUCUGCUAACGCGUAAGCGGAUGUAUAGGGGCUGACGCCUGCCCAGUGCCGGAAGGUUAAGGAGCGCGGUGCAAGCCGCAAACUGAAGCCCCGGUGAACGGCGGCCGUAACUAUAACGGUCCUAAGGUAGCGAAAUUCCUUGUCGGGUAAGUUCCGACCCGCACGAAUGGCGUAACGAUCUGGGCGCUGUCUCAACGAAGGACUCGGCGAAAUUGAACUGGCCGUGAAGAUGCGGCCUACCCGCAGCCGGACAAAAAGACCCCGUGGAGCUUUACUGCAGCUUGGCGCUGGAGGCCGGGCUUAGAUGCGUAGAAUAGGUGGGAGGCGAUGAACCGUUCCUUUUGGGGGGCGGGGAGCCAAUAGUGAAAUACCACUCUUCUAUGUUUGUCCUCCUAACCUGUGAGCAAGCAUGGGAACAGCGCCUGGUGGGCAGUUUGACUGGGGCGGUCGCCUCCUAAAAGGUAACGGAGGCGCGCAAUGGUCCCCUCAGGGUGGAUGGCAAUCACCCGACGAGUGUAUUGGUAUAAGGGGGCUUGACUGCGAGACGGACAUGUCGAGCAGGGACGAAAGUCGGUCAAAGUGAUCCUACGGUCCCGAGUGGAAGGGCCGUGGCUUAUCGGAUACAAGCUACCCCGGGGAUAACAGGCUGAUCCUGCCCAAGAGUUCAUAUCGACGGCAGGGUUUGGCACCUCGAUGUCGGCUCGUCGCAUCCUGGGGCUGAAUCAGGUCCCAAGGGUUGGGCUGUUCGCCCAUUAAAGCGGUACGCGAGCUGGGUUCAGAACGUCGUGAGACAGUUCGGUCUCUAUCCGCUGUGGGCGUAGGAGGCUUGAGGAAUGCUGCCCCUAGUACGAGAGGACCGGGGUGGACGGACCUCUGGUGUGCCGGUUGUCCCGCCAGGGGCAUCGCCGGGUAGCCAAGUCCGGAAUGGAUAAGCGCUGAAAGCAUCUAAGCGCGAAGCCAAUUCCAAGAUGAGGCCUCCCACCGGGUUAACCGGGUAAGACCGCGGGAAGACCACCCGCUUGAUAGGCUACAGGUGGAAGCACAGCAAUGUGUGGAGCUGAGUAGUACUAAUGGUCGAGGGCUUGACCCU
rnacentral:rRNA from 1 species